AUUGAACGCUGGCGGAAUGCUUUACACAUGCAAGUCGAACGGUAGAGGGGGCAACCCCUCGAGAGUGGCGAACGGGUGAGUAAUAUAUCGGAACGUGCCCAGUCGUGGGGGAUAACGUAGCGAAAGUUACGCUAAUACCGCAUACGAUCUACGGAUGAAAGCGGGGGAUCGCAAGACCUCGCGCGAUUGGAGCGGCCGAUAUCAGAUUAGGUAGUUGGUGGGGUAAAGGCUCACCAAGCCAACGAUCUGUAGCUGGUCUGAGAGGACGACCAGCCACACUGGAACUGAGACACGGUCCAGACUCCUACGGGAGGCAGCAGUGGGGAAUUUUGGACAAUGGACGCAAGUCUGAUCCAGCCAUUCCGCGUGCAGGAUGAAGGCCCUCGGGUUGUAAACUGCUUUUGUACGGAACGAAAAGGUUUCUAUUAAUACUAGGAGCUCAUGACGGUACCGUAAGAAUAAGCACCGGCUAACUACGUG
rnacentral:rRNA from 1 species